AGUGAACGCUGGCGGUAGGCCUAACACAUGCAAGUCGAACGGCAGCACAGGAGAGCUUGCUCUCUGGGUGGCGAGUGGCGGACGGGUGAGGAAUACAUCGGAAUCUACUUUGUCGUGGGGGAUAACGUAGGGAAACUUACGCUAAUACCGCAUACGACCUACGGGUGAAAGCAGGGGACCUUCGGGCCUUGCGCGAUUGAAUGAGCCGAUGUCGGAUUAGCUAGUUGGCGGGGCAAAGGCCCACCAAGGCGACGAUCCGUAGCUGGUCUGAGAGGAUGAUAAGCCACCCUGGAACUGAGACACGGUCCAGACUCCUACGGGAGGCAGCAGUGGGGAAUAUUGGACAAUGGGCGCAAGCCUGAUCCAGCCAUACCGCGUGGGUGAAGAAGGCCUUCGGGUUGUAAAGCCCUUUUGUUGGGAAAGAAAUCCAGCUGGCUAAUACCCGGUUGGGAUGACGGUACCCAAAGAAUAAGGACCGGCUAACUACGUGCCAGCCGCCGCGGUAA
rnacentral:rRNA from 1 species